rnacentral:rRNA from 1 species
UGGGGAAUAUUGGACAAUGGGCGCAAGCCUGAUCCAGCCAUGCCGCGUGAGUGAUGAAGGCCUUAGGGUCGUAAAGCUCUUUCACCGGUGAAGAUAAUGACGGUAACCGGAGAAGAAGCCCCGGCUAACUUCGUGCCAGCAGCCGCGGUAAUACGAAGGGGGCUAGCGUUGUUCGGAUUUACUGGGCGUAAAGCGCACGUAGGCGGACUUUUAAGUCAGGGGUGAAAUCCCGGGGCUCAACCCCGGAACUGCCUUUGAUACUGGAAGUCUUGAGUAUGGUAGAGGUGAGUGGAAUUCCGGGUGUAGAGGUGAAAUUCGUAGAUAUUCGGAGGAACACCAGUGGCGAAGGCGACUCACUGGACCGUUACUGACGCUGAGGUGCGAAAGCGUGGGGAGCAAACAGG